rnacentral:hammerhead_ribozyme from 1 species
GUACCGCUGAAGAGUCCCAGACAGAGAACGAAACAGCUGUCUAGUAC